rfam:Strongylocentrotus purpuratus Contig96058_fixed, whole genome shotgun sequence.
GCGCGAUAGCUCAGUCGGUAGAGCAGUAGUCUCGUAAUCCGGUGACCUGGGUUCGAAACCAAGUCGAUGCG